GGCCCGCCUCGUCGAGGGUUCCGCUGAGCUGCUCACAAGGGCGUGCGGAGGCCCGCGGCCGGCCCUGGCCCCUGUGGUGGCAGCAGCUGGCUGGCUUCCCGGGCGGCUACCUCCAGCUGCAGCUGUCGGUGCUAUUUGCAGCUCUCCACAUCCUGAGAGCUGGACGCCGAGGACCGCUCCCUGGAGGGCGUGCGUAAAAUGCAGCAGCGGAGCGGUGAGGAGAUUACCGGAAAAACUGGGAGCGGAGUCAGGCUCGUUCUGGAGCAGGGAGAGGCUUGGGAAGUUGCGAAACGUUGACCUGCAGGGUCUUGAGGAACUGUCGGCCUGGGCUGUCCCCGUGGGUCAUUGAACAUUAAUCAGCCACCAGUCCUCGACCAAGCCAACCGAAAUAGAGUCAGCAGGCAGAAUGACGAAUACAGUUUGAAAGGGAACGAACUUACUCUUAUUCUCUCCUUGGAAAGGCCUUUCCAGACUCUCGAACUCACCCCUGUCACAUUACCCUGUUGUGUUAUCUUUGUGGGCCUGCGCAGCACCUGAAAUGAUCUGUCUUAGAGAUGGGGUCUCACUGUGUUGCCGAGGAUGGAGUACAGUGGCUAUUCACAGGCACAGUCAUUGUGCACUACAUCCUGGAACUCCUGGGCUUAAGCAAUCCUUCUGCCUCAGCCUCCCAAGUAGCUGGGACUAUAGACACACACCACCACACUCAGCAAAAGUGACAAUUGUUUCUAAUACAGACAUCCACACCUGGACAUACUGUGAAAAUUAUAUUCAUUGGGCAUAUUAGUGUCCGUUCUUUCCAAGAUCUGAGUUCAUAAUGUUUUCUUCUGUAAUUGUAAUGAAAUAUCACCAUUUCUUGCUAGCAUUAUACCAAAUCCCUCUAGGCAACUGGGUAGCAGGCUAUAUGCCAACCUAGGUUUUUGGAGAUGACUUGUAUCUUGUUUGCUAUUAGAGCCAACAUGUUAGAAUUUGUGAUUUGUCACAGAGUAGAAGACGAGUUCACUCAAGAAGCACUUAUUUAUGAGCACCUACACAGGUGAUAGAACAGUCAAAAGACAGGAGUUCUGGCCCUUCUGGAACUGACAAUCUUACUAGAAAAAUAAAUGUUACCACAUCACUUGAACAAAGGCACAAUUAUGCAAUUUGAGUUGUGUUUUGACUUCCUUCCCACUACCUUGUUUUUUUGUUUUUGUUUUUUGUUUGUUUUGUUUUGUUUUUAUGCUGGAGGUGUUGUGGGAGAUGGAGUUUUGCUCUUGUCACCCAGGCUGGAGUGUGAUGGCACGAUCUCAGCUCACUGCAACCUCUGCCUCCCAGGUUCAAGUGAUUCUCCUGCCCCAGCCUCCUGAGUAGCUGGGAUUACAGGCAUACGCCACCACGCCCGGCUAAUUUUUUGUAUUUUCAGUAGAGAUGGGGUUUCACCAUGUUAGUCAGGCUGGUCUCGAACUCCUGACCUCAGGUGAUCUGCCUGCCUCAGCUUCCCAAAGUGCUGGGAUUACAGGUGUGAGCCACUGCACCCGGCCCCUCCUUGCUGUCUUAAUAGAAAGUGGAAAAUAGAAAUCUUCUGCACAAGGCCUUUGGUUUGAAUGCAACAUGCCUAGAGAUAGGGAACUGGAAUCCAACACCGUUGCCUACAGAUCUUUGGAGACUAAAAGAGAAAAAAUCCAGGAAAGAAAAAAAAAAAAACAAAAAACGGCUGCCAUAGCUAUUGGCCUCAUUGGACAGGCCUGGGUGAUGUGCACAGACCCUAAAGGUGGCCGGAGCUGACCAGCUUCCUAUUGCACUCUUCUGGGUGGCCCAGGCACCCAGUUGCAUUGGCUGUGGCCACUGAGAAAGGAUUGAGUCAGGCUGAGCCAUGGGCAAUGACAGAGGAGAGGGGAUCAGCAGAGCCUACCUGAAAGCAAAGGAGAAAUGGGUCGGUCACCUCAUCGCAGAAUUUACAGAUGAAGGGGACAAACUUGUUACCUGAGGGUUUCCUUCAUGCCUUGGAGUUUCUCUGAAAGAAAAGACAGCUGAGCAUUUGCCCUGUUUUUGUUUUACCAUUUUUACACUUUCGAAGUCAUGCCAUCAAGUUUUAAGCUAGUAAGAGGACCAUAUACCGAAUGGUACAAUAUCAUAGUUCUUGUAGCAGCUACAUUUUGAUGAAUAAAAUUUCUUUUAAAAUCUC